rnacentral:rRNA from 1 species
CCUACGGGAGGCAGCAGUGGGGAAUAUUGGGCAAUGGGCGCAAGCCUGACCCAGCAACGCCGCGUGAAGGAAGAAGGCUUUCGGGUUGUAAACUUCUUUUAAGAGGGAAGAGCAGAAGACGGUACCUCUUGAAUAAGCCACGGCUAACGACGUGCCAGCAGCCGCGGUAAUACGUAGGUGGCAAGCGUUGUCCGGAGUUACUGGGUGUAACGGGCGUGUAGCAGGGCUGACAAGUCAGAUGUGAAAUUCCGGGGGUCAACCCCGGACCUACAGUUGACACUGGUGGUCUUGAGUAUCGGAGAGGCAGGCGGAAUUCGUGGUGUAGCGGUGAAAUGCGUAGAUAUUAGGAGGAACACCAGUGGCGAAGGCGGCCUGCUGGACGACAACUGACGGUGAGGCGCGAAAGCGUGGGGAGCAAACAGGAUUAGAUACCCGUGUAGUC